rnacentral:rRNA from 1 species
CCUGGCUUAGGACGAACGCUGGCGGCGUGCCUAACACAUGCAAGUCGAACGGACUUACGGGAGCUUGCUCCUGUAAGUUAGUGGCGGACGGGUGAGUAACGCGUGAGUAACCUGCCUUACAGAGGGGGAUAACGUUUGGAAACGAACGCUAAUACCGCAUAACGUGCAGACGUCGCAUGGCGUCAGUACCAAAGGAGCAAUCCGCUGUAAGAUGGACUCGCGUCCGAUUAGAUAGUUGGCGGGGUAACGGCCCACCAAGUCGACGAUCGGUAGCCGGACUGAGAGGUUGAACGGCCACAUUGGGACUGAGACACGGCCCAGACUCCUACGGGAGGCAGCAGUGAGGGAUAUUGCACAAUGGGCGAAAGCCUGAUGCAGCCAACGCCGCGUGAGGGAAGACGGUUUUCGGAUUGUAAACCUCUGUUCCCAGUGAUGAUAAUGACAUUAGCUGAGGAGAAAGCCACGGCUAACUACGUGCCAGCAGCCGC